CCUACGGGGGGCAGCAGUGGGGAAUAUUGCACAAUGGGGGAAACCCUGAUGCAGCGACGCCGCGUGAGUGAAGAAGUAUUUCGGUAUGUAAAGCUCUAUCAGCAGGGAAGAAGUAGCGACCUUUGGGUCGCCAGACGGUACCUGACUAAGAAGCCCCGGCUAACUACGUGCCAGCAGCCGCGGUAAUACGUAGGGGGCAAGCGUUAUCCGGAUUUACUGGGUGUAAAGGGAGCGUAGACGGCAGCACAAGUCUGAAGUGAAAUGCCGGGGCUUAACCCCGGAACUGCAUUGGAAACUGUCCGGCU
rnacentral:rRNA from 1 species